rnacentral:rRNA from 1 species
GACGGAGGAUGCAAGUGUUAUCCGGAAUCACUGGGCGUAAAGGGUGCGUAGGCGGGUCUUUAAGUCAGGGGUGAAAUCCUGGAGCUCAACUCCAGAACUGCCUUUGAUACUGAGGACCUUGAGUUCGGGAGAGGUGAGUGGAACUGCGAGUGUAGAGGUGAAAUUCGUAGAUAUUCGCAAGAACACCAGAGGCGAAGGCGGUUUCCUGGACAGUUACUGACGCUCAGGCACGAAAGCAUGGGGAGCAAAAGGG